rnacentral:rRNA from 1 species
UGGGGGAUAUUGCACAAUGGGCGAAAGCCUGAUGCAGCGACGCCGCGUGGGGGAUGAAGGCCUUCGGGUUGUAAACUUCUUUUGCUCUGAACAAGGCAUGCUAAUGGGUGUGUUGAGUGUAGGGGUUGAUUAGCGCCGGCUAACUACGUGCCAGCAGCCGCGGUAAUACGUAGGGCGCGAGCGUUGUCCGGAAUUAUUGGGCGUAAAGGGCUUGUAGGUGGCUGGUUGCGUCUGUCGUGAAAGCUCAUGGCUUAACUGUGGGUUUGCGGUGGGUACGGGCUGGCUUGAGUGCAGUAGGGGAGGCUGGAAUUCCUGGUGUAGCGGUGGAAUGCGCAGAUAUCAGGAGGAAUACCGGUGGCGAAGGCGGGUCUCUUGGCUGUUACUGACACUGAGGAGCGAAAGCAUGGGGAGCGAACAGG